ACAAGGACAAAGAUUGAGAUGAUUCUGUAGAAAUUCUCGGUAAGCCAUGUGGAAAAAUCAAGGCUUUUGGAGUCGGCGAACCUGUUGGGGUGAAGUGUGGAGAA